GACGAACGCUGGCGGCGCGCUUAGCACAUGCAAGUCGAACGGAAAGGCCUGCUUUCCCUUGUGGAUUGCGGGUACUCGAGUGGCGAACGGGUGAGUAACACGUGAGUGAUCUGCCCCCAACUUGGGUAUAAGCCUGGGAAACUGGGUCUAAUUCCCGAUAGGACUGCAGGGUGGUGCCUGUGGUGGAAAACGAUUUUCUAGUGGUUGGGGAUGAGCUCGCGGCCUAUCAGCUUGUUGGUGGGGUAAUGGCCUACCAAGGCGGCGACGGGUAGCCGGCCUGAGAGGGUGGACGGCCACAUUGGGACUGAGAUACGGCCCAGACUCCUACGGGAGGCAGCAGUGGGGAAUAUUGCACAAUGGGCGGAAGCCUGAUGCAGCGACGCCGCGUGGGGGAUGACGGCCUUCGGGUUGUAAACUCCUUCCGACCGCGAGGAAGCCACCUGGUUGGAAGGGUGGUGACGGUAGUGGUAGAAGAAGCACCGGCUAACUACGUG
rnacentral:rRNA from 1 species